AAGUCGUAACAAGGUCUCCGUUGGUGAACCAGCGGAGGGAUCAUUACCGAGUUUACAACUCCCAAACCCCUGUGAACAUACCUAUCGUUGCCUCGGCGGUGCCCGCCCCGGCGGCCCGCCAGAGGACCCCAAACUCUUGUUUUAUACAGUAUCUUCUGAGUAACACGAUUAAAUAAAUCAAAACUUUCAACAACGGAUCUCUUGGUUCUG
rnacentral:misc_RNA from 1 species